rnacentral:rRNA from 1 species
GAUGAACGCUAGCGGCGGGCUUAAUACAUGCAAGUCAAGGGGUAGCAAUACACCGGCGUACGGGUGCGUAACGCGUAUGGAACCUGCCCUUAUCUGGGGGAUAACUCGGGGAAACUCGAGCUAAUACCGCAUAAGAUAGUAGAGAGGCAUCUCUUAGCUAUUAAAGAUUUAUCGGAUAAGGAUGGCUAUGCGUAAGAUUAGAUAGUUGGCGAGGUAACGGCUCACCAAGUCUACGAUCUUUAGGGGCUCUGAGAGGAGAAUCCCCCACACUGGCACUGAGAUACGGGCCAGACUCCUACGGGAGGCAGCAGUAGGGAAUAUUGGGCAAUGGGCGGAAGCCUGACCCAGCCACGCCGCGUGCAGGAAGACGGCCCUCUGGGUUGUAAACUGCUUUUAACUGGGAAGAAAGUAGUCCUUGCGAGGAAAGUUGACGGUACCAGUUGAAUAAGCCACGGCUAACUACGUGCCAGCCGCCGCAGUAACAC